rnacentral:rRNA from 1 species
ACGGGAGGCAGCAGUGAGGAAUAUUGGUCAAUGGCCGUAAGGCUGAACCAGCCAAGUAGCGUGAGGGAAGACUGCCCUACGGGUUGUAAACCUCUUUUGUCCAGGAAUAAAAAAGCCCACGCGUGGGUUCUUGCAGGUACUGGUUGAAUAAGGACCGGCUAAUUCCGUGCCAGCAGCCGCGGUAAUACGGAAGGUCCGAGCGUUAUCCGGAUUUAUUGGGUUUAAAGGGAGCGCAGGCGGAGCGUCAAGCCAGCCGUAAAAUCGUGGGGCUCAACCCCAUCUCGCGGUUGGAACUGGCGCCCUUGAGUGCGGCAGAGGAAGGUGGAACUCGUGGUGUAGCGGUGAAAUGCAUAGAUAUCACGAAGAACUCCGAUUGCGAAGGCAGCCUUCUGGGCCGUUACUGACGCUCAUGCUCGAAGGUGCGGGUAUCAAACAGGAUUAGAUACCCUGGUA